rnacentral:rRNA from 1 species
UACGUAGGGGGCAAGCGUUGUCCGGAAUUAUUGGGCGUAAAGAGCGUGUAGGCGGUCAGGUAAGUCGGCUGUGAAAGCCCAGGGCUCAACCCUGGGAUGCCGGUCGAUACUGCCGGACUAGAGUUCGGAAGAGGCGAGUGGAAUUCCCGGUGUAGCGGUGAAAUGCGCAGAUAUCGGGAGGAACACCUAUGGCGAAGGCAGCUCGCUGGGACGUUACUGACGCUGAGACGCGAAAGCGUGGGGAGCAAACAGG